GACGUAGGGGGCCAGCGUUGUUCGGAAUUACUGGGUGUAAAGGGUUCGUAGGCGGUGUGGCAAGUCGGGCGUGAAAUCUCUGGGCUCAACUCAGAGACUGCUUCCGAAGCUGCUGUGCUGGAGUGUGGGAGAGGCGCGUGGAAUUGCAGGUGUAGCGGUGAAAUGCGUAGAUAUCUGCAGGAACACCCGUGGCGAAAGCGGCGCGCUGGACCACUACUGACGCUGAGGAACGAAAGCUAGGGGAGCAAACAGG
rnacentral:rRNA from 1 species